rnacentral:misc_RNA from 1 species
UCCGGUUUGGCACCGGCGGUCUCCCAUGAGUCCCCGGCAUAACCCGCUGGCAACAUGGGACAGGGGUUGCGCUCGUUGCGCCACUUAAGGCAACACCUCACGGCACGAGCUGACGACAGCCAUGCAGCACCUGUGCCGGCUCCCGAAGGAGCGCCGUGUUUCCACAAUUUCACCCGGCAUGUCAAGCCCUGGUAAGGUUCUUCGCGUUGCGUCGAAUUAAACCACAUACUCCACCACUUAUACAGGCCCCCGUCAAUUCCUUUGAGUUUUAGCCUUGCGGCCGUACUCCCCAGGCGGGGUGCUUAAUGCGUUAGCUGCGGCACGGAGAGGGUUGAUGCUCCCCACACCUAGCACCCAACGUUUACGGCUGGGACUAC